rnacentral:rRNA from 1 species
UACGUAGGGUGCAAGCGUUGUCCGGAAUUAUUGGGCGUAAAGAGCUCGUAGGCGGUCUGUCGCGUCGAAUGUGAAAAUCCGGGGCUCAACCCCGGACCUGCAUUCGAUACGGGCAGACUAGAGUUCGGUAGGGGAGUCUGGAAUUCCUGGUGUAGCGGUGAAAUGCGCAGAUAUCAGGAGGAACACCGGUGGCGAAGGCGGGACUCUGGGCCGAUACUGACGCUGAGGAGCGAAAGCGUGGGAGCAAACAGG